rnacentral:lncRNA from 1 species
ACUGAAGAAAUUGUGACAUACCACUGAGUGCAAAACCUAGGUGAUCUGACUCUCCUCAUUGUCUUGGACUCUGCGAAUUAGAAAAUAAUAACAUAGUGCUGAGCCCAGCACCUACAGCCACUGCUUACUGAGGGCAUCGUGACAUGUCGCUUGACAAAGAACCUCAGUGUUGUUAACAUUCUGCAUAGGUCUGUGAACAAAUGGAAUUAUGACUUAUGCCUUUCUUCAGUCCAAAGGUCCAGAUCACAGAAGUAAUUGUGCCAUAUGUGGAACAAGCACCUAAGCAAUAGACAAUAUCCAUCGUGGCUCUGCCUUCAAAGGGAA